rnacentral:lncRNA from 1 species
AAAAAAGGAGCACUGUUUUAAUUGUAACAAGUUUGAAGAUGAAUACAUGAAGCACUGUGAAGCACAUUAAAGCACAGGUACCAGUGGUGCAUGCCAAAACUCUGCUCCCAGACCUGUGAUCCGAUGCCAAGCCUCCUGCUUCCAGUUACACAAGCCUUCCACCUCUUGCUCCAGAGGCUGCGAGCACAGGUUCGACCAUCUCCAGGGGGUCAGGAGGGUGCUGCAGGCUCAGCCCUGCUGCUGCUGGCAACCAUGCAUACAGCUCACCGGGUGAGUACCA